UACGUAGGUGGCGAGCGUUGUCCGGAUUUACUGGGCGUAAAGGGAGCGUAGGCGGACUUUUAAGUGAGAUGUGAAAUACUCGGGCUCAACUUGAGUGCUGCAUUUCAAACUGGAAGUCUAGAGUGCAGGAGAGGAGAAUGGAAUUCCUAGUGUAGCGGUGAAAUGCGUAGAGAUUAGGAAGAACACCAGUGGCGAAGGCAAUUCUCUGGACUGUAACUGACGCUGAGGCUCGAAAGCGUGGGGAGCAAACAGG
rnacentral:rRNA from 1 species